rnacentral:rRNA from 1 species
GUUGAUCCCGCCGGACCCGACUGCUAUUUGGGUGAGGAUAAGCCAUGCGAGUUGAAUGGGAAAUCUAAAAAUCCCAUGGCAAACUGCUCAGUAACACAUGAUUAACUUACCCUAUAGAGGAAAAUAACCUCGGGAAACUGAGGAUAAUGUUCCAUAGUUGAAUCGGCUUGGAAAAGUUUUUCAAUAAAAGGGAUAAGAAAAAUGGUUCUUAUCUGCUAUAGGAUAGGAUCGUGCUCGAUUAUGGUUGUUGGUGAGGUAAAGACUCACCAAGCCGAUAAUCGAUAGGGGCCGUGAGAGCGGGAGCCCCGAGAUGGGUACUGAGACAACGACCCAGGCCUUACGAGGCGCAGCAGGCGCGAAACCUCCGCAAUACACGAAAGUGUGACGGGGUUACCCAAAGUGUUCUAUUUAGAACUGUGGUAGGUGAGUAAUGUUCCCUACUAGAAAGGAGAGGGCAAGGCUGGUGCCAGCCGCCGCGGUAAAACCAGCUCUUCAAGUAGUCGGGAUAAUUAUUGGGCUUAAAGUGUCCGUAGCCGGUUUAGUAAGUUCCUGGUAAAAUCGGGUAGCUUAACUAUCUAUAUGCAAGGAAUACUGCUAUACUAGAGGGUGGGAGAGGUCUGAGGUACUACAGGGGUAGGAGUGAAAUCUUAUAAUCCUUGUAGGACCACCAGUGGCGAAGGCGUCAGACUGGAACGCGCCUGACGGUGAGGGACGAAAGCCAGGGGAGCGAACCGGAUUAGAUACCCGGGUAGUCCUGGCCGUAAACGAUGCAUACUAGGUGAUGGCACGGCCAUGAGCCGUGUCAGUGCCGUAGGGAAACCGUUAAGUGUGCCGCCUGGGAAGUACGGUCGCAAGGCUAAAACUUAAAGGAAUUGGCGGGGGAGCACCACAAGGGUGAAGCCUGCGGUUUAAUUGGAUUCAACGCCGGAAAUCACUAGUGCGGCCGCCUG